rnacentral:rRNA from 1 species
UACAGAGGGUGCGAGCGUUAAUCGGAAUUACUGGGCGUAAAGCGUGCGUAGACGGUUAUUUAAGUCGGAUGUGAAAGCCCCGGGCUCAACCUGGGAAUUGCAUUCGAGACUGAAUAGCUAGGGUACGGUAGAGGGAAGCGGAAUUUCCGGUGUAGCGGUGAAAUGCGUAGAUAUCGGAAGGAACAUCAGUGGCGAAAGCGACUUCCUGGACCAAUACUGACGCUCAUGUGCGAAAGCGUGGGGAGCAAACAGG